AACUUAGAUAUUAAGUUGAUUCACGCCGGAUAAAAGAAAAUGAAUUUAUUUUUAAUUCCAACAAAAAUGAUUUACAAAAAUAUUUGUAAAUUUAGUUAUUGAAUUUAUAUGCAUUGCAUAUUUAUUUAAUUUAGCAAUCUUUCACGAGCUAUUUUUUUUCGAACCCUGAAGUAUUAUUACAGUCCCGGUAUUUUAUGUUCCUAAUAGCCACCCUAUAUCAUGAUUAUUUUUUUUCAUACAUGUCACAAUCAAAUCAUAUCUUAAAUCAUAUCUUAUCAAAUUUUCCACUUUCUUUCCUCCCACCAUACCCCCUUCUCCUACUAAUCCGACAGCCAAAUCUUAACAAAUCCCACUUCAAUUCCCACUUAACAAAUCCCACUUUCACACUUUCAAAUUCCCACCAUUUCAGACUUGUCUGCAAAGCCAUUUCCUCUUGGCAAUUCCCACCAUUUCAGACUCUCUCUUUGGCGUACAGAAUCCAGCACACAACAAACAAACAGGAUCAACACUCACUGAAAUUUCUCACAAGGCUUUGAGCAUCAGGAGGAUUAGCACUGCUAUUCCGAUUCAGAGAUAAGGUUAAACGACAGGCUUUGCCUAGAGAGGUUAAUGGCUGGUGAUGACGGGGCAGAGCUGAGGCUAGGGUUCAACUCCGUAUUUUGUCUUCCGCUAUUGCACUAGCUUUUAUUUGUCUUUUGUUUCUCCAACUUAAGACUUUUAUGUUAAAUUCUGAAUUAUGUUUU